AUUGAACGCUGGCGGCAUGCUUUACACAUGCAAGUCGAACGGCAGCGCGGGCUUCGGCCUGGCGGCGAGUGGCGAACGGGUGAGUAAUACAUCGGAACGUGCCCAGUAGUGGGGGAUAGCUCGGCGAAAGCCGGAUUCAUACCGCAUACGACCUGAGGGCGAAAGCGGGGGAUCUUCGGACCUCGCGCCCUUGCAGCGGCCGAUGGCGGAUUAGCUAGUUGGUGGGGUAAAGGCCUACCAAGGCGACGAUCUGUAGCUGGUCUGAGAGGACGACCAGCCACACUGGAACUGAGACACGGCCCAGACUCCUACGGGAGGCAGCAGUGGGGAAUUUUGGACAAUGGGCGAAAGCCUGAUCCAGCAAUGCCGCGUGUGUGAUGAAGGCCUUCGGGUUGUAAAGCACUUUUGGCGGGAACGAAAAGGACUGUGCCAAUACCACGGUUCGAUGACGGUACCCGCAGAAUAAGCACCGGCUAACUACGUG
rnacentral:rRNA from 1 species